rnacentral:rRNA from 1 species
UACGUAGGGUGCAAGCGUUGUCCGGAAUUAUUGGGCGUAAAGAGCUCGUAGGCGGUUUGUCGCGUCUGCUGUGAAAACUCGGGGCUUAACCCCGGGCCUGCAGUGGGUACGGGCAGACUAGAGUGCGGUAGGGGAGACUGGAAUCCUGGUGUAGCGGUGAAAUGCGCAGAUAUCGGGAGGAACACCUGUGGCGAAGGCGGCCCCCUGGUUCGGAUACUGACGCUGAUACGCGAAAGCGUGGGGAGCAAACAGGG